AAGUCGUAACAAGGUUUCCGUAGGUGAACCUGCGGAAGGAUCAUUAUUGAAAUAAACCUGAUGGGUUGUUGCUGGCUCUCUAGGGAGCAUGUGCACGCCUUGUCAUCUUUAUAUCUCCACCUGUGCACUUUUUGUAGACCUUUUUUUAAAAAAGGUCUAUGUUGCUUCAUUUUACCUCAAUUGUAUGUCAAUAGAAUGUUGUGCCUAUAUAAUAUAUACAACUUUCAGCAACGGAUCUCUUGGCUCUCGCAUCGAUGAAGAACGCAGCGAAAUGCGAUAAGUAAUGUGAAUUGCAGAAUUCAGUGAAUCAUCGAAUCUUUGAACGCACCUUGCGCUCCUUGGUAUUCCGAGGAGCAUGCCUGUUUGAGUGCCAUUAAUAUAGUCUCAACCCUUCUCUUUUUUGAAAAGGUUUGGAUGUGGGGGUUUGCUGGCCUCUUCAAAAGGUUCAGCUCUCCUGAAAUGCAUUAGCAGAACAACCUUGCUCAUUGGUGUGAUAACUAUCUACGCUUAUGAAUGUGAGGGGAACAGUUCAGCUUUCUAACAGUCUUUGGACAAUUCAUCAUUAAUGUGACCUCAAAUCAGGUAGGACUACCCGCUGAACUUAA
rnacentral:sRNA from 1 species